GGCCUGGCUUCCGUGCAGGACGCGGCCGCGCAGCUGGCGGCUCCGCUGCUGCUGGAGGGGUUGGAAACCCCUGCGGGCCG
rnacentral:tRNA from 1 species